CUCACAAUUUGAAAUCUGGCUCUCGGGCCCGAGUUGUAAUUUGUAGAGGAUGCUUUUGAUGCGGUGCCUUCCGAGUUCCCUGGAACGGGACGCCAUAGAGGGUGAGAGCCCCGUCUGGUUGGAUGCCAAAUCUCUGUAAAGCUCCUUCGACGAGUCGAGUAGUUUGGGAAUGCUGCUCUAAAUGGGAGGUAUAUGUCUUCUAAAGCUAAAUACCGGCCAGAGACCGAUAGCGCACAAGUAGAGUGAUCGAAAGAUGAAAAGCACUUUGAAAAGAGAGUUAAAAAGUACGUGAAAUUGUUGAAAGGGAAGCGUUUAUGACCAGACUUGGGCUUGGUUAAUCAUCUGGGGUUCUCCCCAGUGCACUUUUCCAGUCCAGGCCAGCAUCAGUUUUCGCCGGGGGAUAAAGGCUUCGGGAAUGUGGCUCUCUCCGGGGAGUGUUAUAGCCCGUUGCGUAAUACCCUGGCGGGGACUGAGGUUCGCGCAUCUGCAAGGAUGCUGGCGUAAUGGUCAUCAACGACCCGUCUUGAAACACGGACCAAGGAGUCGUCUUCGUAUGCGAGUGUUCGGGUGUCAAACCCCUACGCGUAAUGAAAGUGAACGCAGGUGAGAGCUUCGGCGCAUCAUCGACCGAUCCUGAUGUUCUCGGAUGGAUUUGAGUAAGAGCAUACGGGGCCGGACCCGAAAGAAGGUGAACUAUGCCUGUGUAGGGUGAAGCCAGAGGAAACUCUGGUGGAGGCUCGCAGCGGUUCUGACGUGCAAAUCGAUCGUCA
rnacentral:rRNA from 1 species